rnacentral:rRNA from 1 species
GACGAACGCUGGCGGCGUGCCUAAUACAUGCAAGUCGAACGCAGUGGGGACGGGUUAGUAACACGUGGGUAACCUCCCAUCAGAGGGGAUAACACUUGGAAACAGGUGCUAAACCGAUAUUGAUGGAUGGACCCGCGGUGCAUUAGCGAGUUGGUGAGGUAACGGCUCACCAAGGCCACGAUGCAUAGCCGGCCUGAGAGGGGGAUCAGCCACACUGGGACUGAGACACGGCCCAGACUCCUACGGGAGGCAGCAGUAGGGAAUCUUCGACAAUGGACGAAAGUCUGACCGAGCAACGCCGCGUGUAUGAAGAAGGCCUUAGGGUUGUAAAGUACUUUCAGCGGGGAGGCGUUACCCGCAGAAGAAGCACCGGCUAACUCCGUGCCAGCAGCCGCGGUAAUUC